rnacentral:tRNA from 1 species
AGAUGAAUGACUGAGUGGUUGAAGGUAUCAAUCUUGAAAAUUGAAAUAAGAAUUAUCUUAUCGUGGGUUCGAAUCCUACUUCAUCUA